CAAUAGCGUAUAUUUAAGUUGCUGCAGUUAAAAAGCUCGUAGUUAGAUUUCGGGUGGGAAUGGCCGGUCCGCCGUUUCGGUGUGCACUUGCUACGCCCACCUUGCUGCCGGGGACGUGCUCUUGAGUUCACGCUCGGGACACGGAGUCGGCGAGGUUACUUUGAGUAAAUUAGAGUGUUCAAAGCAGGCCUACGCUCUGAAUACAUUAGCAUGGAAUAACACGAUAGGACUCUGGCCUAUCUUGUUGGUCUGUAGGACCGGAGUAAUGAUUAAGAGGGACAGUCGGGGGCAUCCGUAUUUCAUUGUCAGAGGUGAAAUUCUUGGAUUUAUGAAAGACGAACUACUGCGAAAGCAUUUGCCAAGGAUGUUUUCAUUAA
rnacentral:rRNA from 1 species